CGUGAACUAGCUAAUGAUUUGAAGUUCAAGAUUACAGUCCCAUAUGGAGUUUGGUUUCUCAAACACCAGGUUGGAGGUUGGGUGACCGAAUAUGGCAAUUUAUUGACCUUUGCCACUGUGAGGGGGGCUGCACAUAUGGUACCAUAUGCACAACCAUCAAGAGCCUUGCAUCUAUUCAGUUCAUUCAUACAUGGCCGGCGACUUCC